rnacentral:sRNA from 1 species
UGAGUUGGCCGCUAGGGUUCCGGUCUUGCAAGCAGCAAGACGCUGGUCCGAGAGCAGCCGCUUGCGGGGGAGACAUCCCCGCAGGUGCACGGCGGGACAAAAGCCCGGGAGAC